rnacentral:rRNA from 1 species
UACGGAGGGGGCUAGCGUUGUUCGGAAUUACUGGGCGUAAAGGGUGUGUAGGCGGUUCUUUAAGUUUGGUGUGAAAUCUCCCGGCUCAACUGGGAGGGUGCGCCGAAUACUGAGGGACUAGAGUACGGGAGAGGAAAGUGGAAUUCCUGGUGUAGCGGUGAAAUGCGUAGAUAUCAGGAGGAACACCGGUGGUGUAGACGGCUUUCUGGACCGUAACUGACGCUGAAACACGAAAGCGUGGGUAGCAAACAGG